UGUUUCUUAAGACUUCCAGCUUCAUCACGGAGUUUCUCUCGGUUUGUGGGCUCAUCUAAAGGACCUGCCCUUCCUGUCUGAAGCAGAGACCAGUGAGACCUAUUCCAGACUGUUUGAAAGUGUGGUGACUGUGAUAAAGAAAGAAAAAAUCAGCAAGAGAAUAAGGAGACUGACAAACAGGUGGAGGAAGAGAAUGCCACAGAGGAGGCUCAUCACCCACAACACUGUGCUCAAACACAGUGGUGUUUCUGAGUAGCUUUUCUGCUUAGCAAUUUAAUUUAAAUAGAUACAUCCCCUUUUCAUAGUAUAAUCUUAACGUGCUUCAUCUGAAUCACCCUUUCUGUGUGCU